rnacentral:rRNA from 1 species
GUGAGGAAUAUUGGUCAAUGGGCGCAAGCCUGAACCAGCCAUGCCGCGUGCAGGAAGACGGUCCUAUGGAUUGUAAACUGCUUUUAUUUGGGAAUAAACUCCGGUACGUGUACCGGCCUGAAGGUACCAAAUGAAUAAGCACCGGCUAACUCCGUGCCAGCAGCCGCGGUAAUACGGAGGGUGCAAGCGUUAUCCGGAAUCAUUGGGUUUAAAGGGUCCGCAGGCGGUCUUAUAAGUCAGUGGUGAAAGCCUACAGCUCAACUGUAGAACUGCCAUUGAUACUGUAGGACUUGAAUUCGAUCGAAGUGGGCGGAAUGUGACAUGUAGCGGUGAAAUGCUUAGAUAUGUCACAGAACACCGAUAGCGAAGGAAGCUCACUAGGUCUGGAUUGACGCUCAGGGACGAAAGCGUGGGGAGCAAACAGGAUUAGAAACCCCUGUAGUCC